rnacentral:rRNA from 1 species
CAGCGGAGGGAUCAUUACAGAGUGUAAAAACUCCCAAACCCUUUGUGAACAUACCACUGUUGCCUCGGCGGAGCUGCCCGGUAGCUACCCUGUAGCUACCCUGCAGCCGCCGGCGGACCAUCAAACUCUGAUUAUAUAGAUAUCUGAGCGUACUUUUAAAUAAGUCAAAACUUUCAACAACGGAUCUCUUGGUUCUGGCAUCGAUGAAGAACGCAGCGAAAUGCGAUAAGUAAUGUGAAUUGCAGAAUUCAGUGAAUCAUCGAAUCUUUGAACGCACAUUGCGCCCAUUAGUACUCUAGUGGGCAUGCCUGUUCGAGCGUCAUUACGACCCUUAAGCCUAGCUUAGUAUUGGGAACCUACGUGCGGCAGCUACCCUGUAGCUACCCUGUAGCUCCUUAAAGACAACGGCGGAGACGUGGAGUCCUCUGAGCUUAGUAACUUUUCUAGCUUCUGAAGGCGCCGCGGCCCCUGCCGUAAAACCCCCCAACUCUUUAGUGGUUGACCUCGGAUCAGGUAGGAAUACCCGCUGAACUUAAGCAUAUCAAUAAGCGGAGG